UCGAGAAUCUUUCGCAAUGGGCGCAAGCCUGACGAAGCGACGCCGUGUGAACGAAGAAGGCCUUCGGGUUGUAAAGUUCUUUCGCUAGGGAACAAGAGAGUGGUGAUAAUAACGCCAUGAUUUGAUGGUACUUGGUAAAGAAGCACCGGCUAACUCCGUGCCAGCAGCUGCGGUAAUACGGAGGGUGCAAGCAUUGAUCGGAAUUACUGGGCGUAAAGGGUGCGUAGGCGGAUUGUUAAGUCAGAUGUGAAAUUCCGCGGCUCAACUGCGGAGCUGCAUUUGAAACUGACGAUCUAGAACAUAGUUAGGGAAAACGGAAUUCCACGUGUAGCGGUGAAAUGCGUAGAUAUGUGGAAGAACACCAGUGGUGAAGACGGUUUUCUGGGCUAUAGUUGACGCUGAGGCACGAAAGCUAGGGGAGCAAACA
rnacentral:rRNA from 1 species